UACGUAGGGCGCAAGCGUUGUCCGGAAUUAUUGGGCGUAAAGAGCUCGUAGGUGGCGUGUCGCGUCUGCCGUGAAAGCCCAUGGCUUAACUGUGGGUCUGCGGUGGAUACGGGCAGGCUAGAGGCUGGUAGGGGCAAGCGGAAUUCCUGGUGUAGCGGUGAAAUUCGUAGAUAUCAGGAGGAACACCGGUGGCGAAGGCGGCUACCUGGACCGGUACUGACGCUGAGACACGAAAGCGUGGGGAGCAAACAGG
rnacentral:rRNA from 1 species